rnacentral:rRNA from 1 species
AUACGGAGGGUGCAAGCGUUAUCCGGAUUUACUGGGUUUAAAGGGUACGCAGGCGGUAAUUUAAGUCAGUGGUGAAAGCCUACAGCUCAACUGUAGAACUGCCAUUGAAACUGAAUUACUUGAGUAUGGUAGAGGUAGGCGGAAUACAACAUGUAGCGGUGAAAUGCAUAGAUAUGAUGUAGAACACCGAUUGCGAAGGCAGCUUACUAAACCAUUACUGACGCUGAUGUACGAAAGCGUGGGGAGCGAACAGGAUUAGAUACCCCAGUAGUCC